GAGGUGAAUCCUGCAGCUCAACUGUAGAAUUGCCUUUGAUACUGGUUGACCUUGGAAUUGUGAAGUGGUUAGAAUGUGUGGUGUAGCGGUGCAAAUUGCAUAGAUAUUACACAGAAUACCGAUUGCGAAGGCAGAUUACUAACAAUAUACUGACGCUGAUGGACGAAAGCGUGGGUAGCGAACAGGAUUAGAUACCCUGGUAGUCCACGCCGUAAACGAUGGUUACUAGCUGUUUG
rnacentral:rRNA from 1 species